CCUACGGGUGGCAGCAGUAAGGAAUAUUGGUCAAUGGGCGGAAGCCUGAACCAGCCAUGCCGCGUGCAGGAAGACGGCCUACGGGUUGUAAACUGCUUUUGCAGGGGAAUAUGUACCUUGAGAAUAAGGAUCGGCUAACUCCGUGCCAGCAGCCGCGGUAAUACGGAGGAUCCGAGCGUUAUCCGGAUUUAUUGGGUUUAAAGGGUGCGUAGGUGGCCUGUUAAGUCAGGGGUGAAAGACGGUAGCUCAACUAUCGCAGUGCCCUUGAUACUGACGGGCUUGAAUGAACUAGAGGCAGGCGGAAUGUGACAAGUAGCGGUGAAAUGCAUAGAUAUGUCACAGAACACCAAUUGCGAAGGCAGCUUGCUAUGGUUUAUUGACACUGAGGCACGAAAGCGUGGGGAUCAAACAGGAUUAGAUACCCUGGUAGUC
rnacentral:rRNA from 1 species